UGACCUCCCAGAAUGACGUACCUGUCUGGGAAGAACCAUUACAGAAGACUAUAAAAUGCACAUGUCAUCUCUCUGUUCUCGUUCCAGGAAGAACUGCAUCCUCAUUGACAUGCUGCGGAACCCAAGAAUGGGGAGCAUGGCAGGUGCCAGUGAAGGUUAAAGAGGAAUACAGGGAGCCCAAUCUCUUUGGAUAUUGGCCAGGGUCACCACCUGGGAAGGCUGUGUGUCUGGCAACAAGAAUAGCUUUGCUGAUGUUCCAGCUAAAUUCCUAAAGACAGAUGCUACGAGUAGCCUGCAAUUUGACAACUGCAAUCAUAAUGAAAUUCAUUCUUCCUCGUUGGAAAUGGGCUUUUCGUGGGACAGGACGCAGAGGCAUAUGCUCUUAGAAUGCCUGAAUGUUCUCUGAUAGUGCAAGCAGAAAUGAUAACUGUGGUAUUUCUUAAGUA